GAAGGGUGCAAGCGUUACUCGGAAUUACUGGGCGUAAAGCGUGCGUAGGUGGUUGUUUAAGUCUGUUGUGAAAGCCCUGGGCUCAACCUGGGAACUGCAGUGGAAACUGGACGACUAGAGUGUGGUAGAGGGUAGCGGAAUUCCUGGUGUAGCAGUGAAAUGCGUAGAGAUCAGGAGGAACAUCCAUGGCGAAGGCAGCUACCUGGACCAACACUGACACUGAGGCACGAAAGCGUGGGGAGCAAACAGGAUUAGAUACCCUGGUAGUCCACGCCCUAAACGAUGCGAACUGGAUGUUGGGUGCAAUUUGGCACGCAGUAUCGAAGCUAACGCGUUAAGUUCGCCGCCUGGGGAGUACGGUCGCAAGACUGAAACUCAAAGGAAUUGACGGGGGCCCGCACAAGCGGUGGAGUAUGUGGUUUAAUUCGAUGCAACGCGAAGAACCUUACCUGGCCUUGACAUGUCGAGAACUUUCCAGAGAUGGAUUGGUGCCUUCGAGAACUCGAACACAGGUGC
rnacentral:rRNA from 1 species